GUUUAGUGUGUGUAUGCAAGAGCAGUUUCAAAAUUGGAACUUAACUUUGAAAAUUAACUAAAAGUAAAACCAGAGGUUAAAGGUUCCUAACGCCAGUGUUUUCCAAACGGCUUUGGUAGGACACCCAUCAAAAAAAUUUUGAGCCUGCAUCCCUGGUAUCAGUAUGACUAUAUAUGCUAAUAUGCUAAAUACGAAAAUAUUAUGAACGCUAUAAAACAAAUUUGAAGGAAUAAGAAAGAAAAACUUUUUGUUAGAAAUACCCAUUUUUGUGCUCACUAAGUGUUUAAGUGUUCAACUACUGACAGCCACUUCUCAUCACAGAAAAGGUCAUCAGGUUUGGAACACUAGCCUUUUAAAAAAGAAAAAAUAAGCAAAUAACUAAUGAACCUCUUUUUUAAAGUACUUUGGCAUUCGCUAAGUAAGCCUCAGGGUUUUCAGAAGAUAUUCAUGGCCACUGCACUGCGUAUUACAAAGCAUGGUGUCUACGUGGAGGAGCAGAGAGCCAAGUUGGAGUUCAAAUCCAAGGAAGCGUCCCUGACUCCAAAGCCAGUGCUGUUCUCUUUCCAGAGGGGAACCGGGAAGGCUAAUUAGCAAUCAGACCCAGACACUCAGGUUUAGAGCGUCACAGAACAGUGUUGAUGAGUAUCCUUGCCACCUCAGCCUUAUAUUGGACCCUAUUUUCAGAGGGUUCUUACUCUGGAAUGUCUUAAAGGAACCUCAGCCCUGACACGUCCUUGACUGAACAUAAGUUGGGUAAAGACCAUACAGGGAUUAGUUCUUGUGGUCUGAAGGCCAACAGUAGAGAAAGGAAGGUCUGUCUGAAGCACGUGCACCUUUAGGGUUUCCUCUUUACUCCCGAUGAUGGAGGGGUGGCCACUGGGCCCCUUCACUGGACCUGCCGUUUCUCUACCCCUUUUGUUUCCGGGAAGGAAGUAGACCUCUUCCUUCUCUAGGACAUGGUUUCACUGAUUUCCUCCCCUCUUGUAUCUCAUAAAUAUACUCAAUCUCUCCCAUAUUAACAAAAACAAAAACUCCUGAAAUUCUUUACUUUUAGUACCCUGUAAUUACCGUCCUGCUUCUUCAUCCUUUCAUUCAUAGCCAAGUUUCUCAAAAAAAAAAAAAAAAAAGACAUUGGCUGUUGUCUUUUUCUCACCUUCCGAUUUACCCUUCACCCCACUGCAGUGUGACUUCCACCUCAACAAGCUCUGAAUGAAACUGCUUGUGAUAAGGUCCCCAAUGACCCUGUAAUUGCCAGGGUGGAAAGAUAUGUCCCAGGCCUUGUUUCAUUGUGUUUGCUGACAACUGUUAGUAGCCCUUUUGUCUGUUGCAUCCCAGGGUUCCAGAGCACCCUUCCUGGUUCCUUCUCUUCCUCUCCUCAUUCCUUUCCUCCAUCCACAGCUUUCUUGUUUUCAUAAUGUAAUAUGCUCUUCUUGAAUGACUUGACUAUCUCCAUGGGUUCAGAUUUCAACUUUUGCUGAUUCCUUCCAAACCUCUAACCCAUCUCUUGAGCUGUAGACAUUACCGGUGUACUACUGGACAUCUCUCAGAAACCUAGAGUCAGUCCCUUCCCCAGUUCUCUUAACUAAGUGAUCAAAAGUCCUGUCAUUUCUACAUCUGAGUGUUUUUCCCAUCCCUCCCCUCUUUCUCAAUCUAUUUCUUGGGUGAAGUCCUCCUCAUUUCUCUCCUAAACAAUUCAUUUUCCUACCUAACAGUUCUCCAGAUCCACCACAACCUAUUCUCUACUUUAAAGUCCAAAUAAACAUUCUAAUUCUGAUUGUUACCCUGAUUUUAAAAUCCUUCAUACCACCUUCGUAUCCAAAAGGUACUUUACAAACUAUCUUAAAGUUUUGAUUUCUCUUCUUUCUUUAGAGCCAUGGCAAACUAUUUGUAGUCCCUCCACAUCCUCUAUAUUUACAUAGGAUGCCUGGCACCCUAGCUUGUCUUUCAAAAUCCAUCUCAAAUAAUGCCUCCCAAGGGAAGCUUACUCUGACCUCCCCAAGAAGUGUUUGGUCCUUCUGCUUUUAAAUAUCCCCAUGCCCCAGUCUGCACCCUAAUCAAGUAAAUCAGGAUCUCCUGGGGACCCAUCCAGGCAGCAGUAUUUUUUAAAGCUCUGUGAGGCCAUAGGUACCUGAAAAGAAGUUUCCAGGCUUUCUCAUGCAGAGUCUCAGAAACUAUUUUCUGUCUUCUUGUCUUAUACCUCAUUUUUCACAUCUCUUCAACUGAUGCUGGAGAGUAUCUGUUGGUUCUCACCUCCUCAUUCAACCCUGACCUAGGUUUUCCUAUUUCUCUUCGCUCCUGAUUUUGCAGACUCAGGAAAGACACAUUCCUAGCCUACUCUCAGUCCAGCCUACCAGAACCUCCAAGUCAGACUUCCAUUUGUCUAAGAGGGCAGUGGAGUCCAGGCACAGUCGGAGAGUCCUAAGGUGAUCUGAGAUCUCUGUACUCCAUGUUGUUGAGGGAACACACAUUCCACCUAGAAGAAUCUCAGUGAGGACCAAUGGUGAGGAGGCAUCCAUAGACUUUGCUGGGUGUCCAAAGGGUUUACAUUCAGAAACUGACCAUGUUCUUCAGCAAUGGCCACUCCAUACAUGCCCUGCUUCACCUCCCACUCUCCCCACAAGAUUCCCAUCAGCCUUUCAUGGUUUUGAGAAGGUGUAAGGUAAAAAACACAUGCCUCUGUUAAUAAAUACCAGGAGAACAGAGAUAGCAUGAUGAAGUUGUAAGAGAAAGUAUCAUCAGGAUUGGUGACUCUGCCACACCCCACAAUAAUAAUAUUGUCACCAGAUAACUGAAGAGUGUUCCACACAUUCUGUGAGGGAAGAGGAGCUUAAUUACAAUGAACGAGUAUCAAUAAAAUUACUGGUUGUUGAGAACAUUUAA